AGUGAACGCUGGCGGUAGGCCUAACACAUGCAAGUCGAACGGCAGCACAGUAAGAGCUUGCUCUUACGGGUGGCGAGUGGCGGACGGGUGAGGAAUACAUCGGAAUCUACUUUUUCGUGGGGGAUAACGUAGGGAAACUUACGCUAAUACCGCAUACGACCUACGGGUGAAAGCAGGGGAUCUUCGGACCUUGCGCGAUUGAAUGAGCCGAUGUUGGAUUAGCUAGUUGGCGGGGUAAAGGCCCACCAAGGCGACGAUCCGUAGCUGGUCUGAGAGGAUGGUCGGCCACACUGGAACUGGGACACGGUCCAGACUCCUACGGGAGGCAGCAGUGGGGAAUAUUGGACAAUGGGCGCAAGCCUGAUCCAGCCAUACCGCGUGUGUGAAGAAGGCGUUCGGGUUGUAAAGCCCUUUUGUUGGGAAAGAAAAGCAGCAGGUUAAGACCCCGCUGUUCUGACGGUACCCAAAGAAUAAGCACCGGCUAACUUCGUG
rnacentral:rRNA from 1 species